UAAUACAUGCAAGUCGAGCGAAUCGAUGGGAGCUUGCUCCCUGAGAUUAGCGGCGGACGGGUGAGUAACACGUGGGCAACCUGCCUAUAAGACUGGGAUAACUUCGGGAAACCGGAGCUAAUACCGGAUACGUUCUUUUCUCGCAUGAGAGAAGAUGGAAAGACGGUUUCGGCUGUCACUUAUAGAUGGGCCCGCGGCGCAUUAGCUAGUUGGUGAGGUAAUGGCUCACCAAGGCGACGAUGCGUAGCCGACCUGAGAGGGUGAUCGGCCACACUGGGACUGAGACACGGCCCAGACUCCUACGGGAGGCAGCAGUAGGGAAUCUUCCGCAAUGGACGAAAGUCUGACGGAGCAACGCCGCGUGAACGAAGAAGGCCUUCGGGUCGUAAAGUUCUGUUGUUAGGGAAGAACAAGUACCAGAGUACUGC
rnacentral:rRNA from 1 species